AUAGUUCAGAGGUGCCGGAAUCAUUUUGGUAACAAAUGGCGCAUGGACGCUGGGUGAAUGCGAAAGUGGGAGAGCGCGAGGAGCUAGACACGCCGCGUUUCCCAAUGGGAGGAAGCAGAAGCAUUUUUCAGGAAUUGCUGGCUGUGGUCUGAUUCUCACUGGCAUGCAGUUUGUAGACUGGACUGCUGAACACUGUGUCAGUGGCUGUACCGGAUUUUCCAUGAUCCCCAUGAUCCGAUUAACUGGCAUGUAGUAGUGACUUUAUCUUCACAUCAUCCCUGUAAGUUCUUCACUGCUUCCCUGCACCCUGAUGGAGAAGGACCCGCAUCACCAGCAAGGUCCCUUUCAGAGCGUCGCUGCUGCCAGUUCCAUCCAGACUGGGCUCAUGCCCUGCCUGCUUGAGGCCAUUGUGAGUCUCUCUGCAUUGGCCGGGAGAUUAAAUUGUGCUUGCUGCAGCCUGCUUGAAUGACACACCACUUAAUUCAUCUCAAUCAAGAGCCUGGUUCACUCUCAGCGUCAUACGCUGCAGCAAGUGGUUCAUAAAAGUGUCUCCGUCCCCCUCCUCCACCCCCAACAAAGGAGAGGGAUGCAGCCCAAGGAUUCAGGGCUAUGUUACCGGGGGAGGGGAGCCGUGUAUUGAGCACUCAGGGCAGGUCACGCUCCCAGCAGAGAAGUGCUGCAGGUUGGCAGUGCUAAGAACGAUGGUGAGUCCCUGGGAGUGUGGAUGGGACAGAGGAGAUUCAGCUGAGAUGACACUGCUGGGGGCAGCAGAGAGGAAUUAGGGAUGUGACUGGUUAACUGGUCAAUCUGUAAGCUUACCAGUUCCAGUUAACCAGUAGGGACUGGAGCAGCUCCCCACGAGCUGCAGGCAGGGCACUGCUCCAGCCCCAUGGGGCCCACCACAGGCAGGGGCUUCCCCGACUAGUCAGCUAUACCAGCCCUUGUCCACAGUGGAGCUGCUCCAGUCCAGCAAUUGCGCCCUCUCACCUGC